CCACAUAAGCAGGUGAAACUUCUUAGAGGAACUGGCGCCCGAAAAGGCGCACGAGAAAGAGCAAUAACAGGUCUGUGAUGCCCUAAGAUGUCCGGGGCCGCACGCGUGCUACAAUGACGAUGCUACUGAGCAUGAUUAACUUGUCCGAAAGGAUUGGUGAAACUGUUCAAUCAUCGUCGUGACUGGGAUUGGGGUUUGCAAUUGUCCCCCAUGAACCAGGAAUUCCUAGUAAGCACAAGUCAUAAGCUUGUGCUGAUUACGUCCCUGCCCUUUGUACACACCGCCCGUCGCUACUACCGAUUGAAUGGUUUAGCAAGGACAUUGGAUUGAACUCUUGCGGUUUCGGCUGCUUGCGUUUGAGAAGAUGUCCGAACUUGAUCAUUUAGAGGAAGUAAAAGUCGUAACAAGGUUUCCGUAGGUGAACCUGCGGAAGGAUCAUUA
rnacentral:rRNA from 1 species